UUUUUUCUUUUUAACAAGGGAUCUAAAAAAAAGUGUGAUAAAAUAUUAACUUUUUUUGUCUGGCGGCGGUGGCGGCAGCAUGGCGGCGGGGCGGCCGAGGCGGCAGCGGCGGCAGUGGUCGAGGUCGGCUCGGCCGGGCAGUUUGAGGAGCUGCUGUGCCUCAAAGCCAAGUCCCUACUUGUGAUCCAUUUCUGGGCACCAUGGUCUCCCCAGUGCACGCAGAUGAACAACGUAAUGGCGGAACUGGCUAAAGAACACCUUCAAGUUUCAUUUGUGAAGUUGGAAGCUGAAGCUGUUCCUGAAGUAUCUGAAAAAUAUGAAAUUAGUUCUGUUCCUACCUUUCUGUUUUUCAAGAAUUCUCAGAAAAUCGACCGAUUAGAUGGUGCGCAUGCCCCAGAGUUGACCAAAAAAGUUCAGCGACAUGCAUCUAGCAGCGCUUCCUUCCCACCCAGCGCUAAUGAGCAUCUUAAAGAUCUCAACCUUCGCCUGAAGAAGUUAACUCAUGCUGCCCCCUGCAUGCUGUUCAUGAAAGGAACUCCUCAAGAACCACGAUGUGGUUUCAGCAGGCAGAUGGUGGAGAUUCUUCACACACAUAAUAUUCAAUUUAGCAGUUUUGACAUCUUCUCAGAUGAAGAGGUUUGACAGGGACUCAAAACCUAUUCCAAUUGGCCUACCUAUCCUCAGUUGUAUGUUUCUGGAGAGCUCAUAGGAGAACUUGAUAUAAUGAAGGAGCUAGAAGCAUCCCAAGAACUAGAGACAGUUUGCCCCAAAGCUCCCAAAUUAGAGGAAAGGCUCAAAGUGCUGACAAAUAAAGCUUCUGUGAUGCUCUUUAUGAAAGGAAACAAACAGGAAGCAAAAUGUGGAUUCAGCAGACAAAUUCUGGAAAUACUAAAUACUACUGGUGUUGAAUACGAAACAUUUGAUAUAUUGGAGGACGAAGAAGUUCGGCAAGGAUUAAAAACUUACUCAAAUUGGCCGACGUACCCCCAGCUGUAUGUGAAAGGGGAGCUUGUUGGAGGACUGGAUAUUGUUAAGGAAUUGAAAGAAAAUGGUGAAUUGCUGCCUAUACUGAGAGGAGAAAAUUAAACUUGGUGCCCAACUAUUGCAAGAAGUAAUUAUAGUGGGAGAAGUUCAUGAUUUAGUCCUCAGAAAUGGACUAGGAAUAGAAAAGUGCUUCCUUCUGACCAGGUUACACCUUCUGUUUUUCACAAGGUUGUGCUAAAUAAAUAAAUGUAUGUUACAUUUUUUUCCCCACCAAAAAUAGAAUGCAAUAAACAUCUUCGAAUUAUUAACAAUAAAAAAA